rnacentral:rRNA from 1 species
GAUGAACGCUGGCGGCGUGCUUAACACAUGCAAGUCGAACGAAGCACUUUAUUUGAUUUCCUUCGGGACUGAUUAUUUUGUGACUGAGUGGCGGACGGGUGAGUAACGCGUGGGUAUCCUGCCUUGUACAGGGGGAUAACAGUUGGAAACGGCUGCUAAUACCGCAUAAGCGCACGGCAUCGCAUGAUGCAGUGUGAAAAACUCCGGUGGUAUAAGAUGGACCCGCGUUGGAUUAGCUAGUUGGUGAGGUAACGGCCCACCAAGGCGACGAUCCAUAGCCGACCUGAGAGGGUGACCGGCCACAUUGGGACUGAGACACGGCCCAAACUCCUACGGGAGGCAGCAGUGGGGAAUAUUGCACAAUGGGCGAAAGCCUGAUGCAGCGACGCCGCGUGAGCGAAGAAGUAUUUCGGUAUGUAAAGCUCUAUCAGCAGGGAAGAUAAUGACGGU